UACGGAGGGUGCGAGCGUUAAUCGGAAUUACUGGGCGUAAAGGGUGCGUAGGUGGUUUGAUAAGUUAGCUGUGAAAUUCCUGGGCUUAACCUGGGCAGGUCAGCUAAGACUGUUGGACUCGAGUAUGGGAGAGGGUAGUGGAAUUUCCGGUGUAGCGGUGAAAUGCGUAGAGAUCGGAAGGAACACCAGUGGCGAAGGCGGCUACCUGGCCUAAUACUGACACUGAGGCACGAAAGCGUGGGGAGCAAACAGG
rnacentral:rRNA from 1 species